UAUCCUGACAGCCUGUCCUUAAAAAUGGGCAAACUGUGACUCCACACUCACAGGAAUACAGCUGUGACUACUCUGACUCCGUCACAGCCUGGAGAAUGGGAAGGGGAAAUUGCUGCCAUCGUUAAUAUCUUCAAGACGCUGAAUGACUGCUGGGACUUUGGAGGAUAUUUAGACCUAGGAUGGAGGAGUCACAGGCCUGUUCAAAGAGUUGUAUUCCAGGACUAUGAGUGUGCUGUGCUAGGGAAC